GUGGGGAAUAUUGGACAAUGGGCGCAAGCCUGAUCCAGUCAUGCCGCGUGAGUGAUGAAGGCCUUAGGGUUGUAAAGCUCUUUUGUCCGGGAAGAUAAUGACUGUACCGGAAGAAUAAGCCCCGGCUAACUUCGUGCCAGCAGCCGCGGUAAUACGAAGGGGGCUAGCGUUGUUCGGAAUCACUGGGCGUAAAGCGCACGUAGGCGGACCAUUAAGUCAGGGGUGAAAGCCUGGAGCUCAACUCCAGAACUGCCUUUGAUACUGAUGGUCUCGAGUAUGGAAGAGGUUGGUGGAACUGCGAGUGUAGAGGUGAAAUUCGUAGAUAUUCGGAGGAACACCAGUGGCGAAGGCGGCUCACUGGCUCGAUACUGACGCUGAGGUGCGAAAGCGUGGGGAGCAAACAGGAUUAGAAACCCGAGUAGUCC
rnacentral:rRNA from 1 species